UUUCUGCCUCAGAGGCCAGGGAGUAGAAAAGGAGAGUUGAGAGUAAGGCGCAUGGCACUCAGGCCCGUCAAUGGCCUUGAUGCAGGGAUGUCUGUACCAGGACAGUGAGUAUUCCAUGACUGUUUUUUUUGGUACCAGAGAUCGAACUCAGGUCCUUGUGGUUGCAAGGCAGGCGGCGGAACCACUGAGCUAAAUCCCUGGCCUCCAUGACUGUUUUAACAUGUGAACCAGACACUGACACUUUGGAUACUAAGAAACAGCCAGAAUCCUGCAAUUUCAGAAAAGUACAUAAACAGCAAGAGCAGAAGAAUGACAGCUGGAAAACAGCCACCCUCUGUGUUGCGUGAUGUGUUACCAGGAUGACUAUUGUUCUGGUGAAGAGGAUGGGGAGAACAAAAUGAACACACCCAGAC
rnacentral:lncRNA from 1 species